UUUGCUAGGUGUAUCUAUAUCAAGCUGAGCAAGCCUUACAUCAGAAAAUGAGAAAGGAAACAUGCAUGGAACUCAGCAGAGAACAUUUUUCCUGUAAACUAAAAAAAUAACAAGAAGUUGAUCACUCCUUUGUUAUAUUUAUGCUGAAGGAAAAAAAAAAAAAAAAAAAAAGGACUAGGUUCCCCUGUUUUGAAUGCAAGAAGCACACUAGCACCCUUGGUACAAUCAUGCUUCUCCUUGUCUUUUCUAAUUCACGUCUAAGAUGUCUAUGACAAAAAUUGGCAUUCUUUUCAUGUAUUUUUCUUUAUUAUGAGGUUACUUAGUUUCCCAAAAGGUGUUUUGGUUGAAUUUGACUGAUGAAUUAUGGGGCAUUGUAUAUGCAGCUGAUGAUAGGCAAAAACUAUGACAUGAUGUUUGUGAGCUACAUCAGGCAUCCAUCUCUCUGUUCUAACGUUAAAGGAAUGGGCCAAAAGAGGGAAGCAAUGAUUGACUGUGGACAGCUAGCAUCCCCACGAUGGAGAAUGACCAUAUAAAGAUCUUUCUACAUCAAAGAAAACUCUCUUGAGUUGCAUUGGUGUCGAUAUAUCAUCAUGCAGGAACUGGACACAUAGAAUUCCUAAGAUAAGAAGCAACAAUAGCUGGUGAAUGCCAACACUAAGGAUAGAAGCAUCUAUGAACAAGCUUGUCUUCUUUCAGUGAUUUGAGCAGUCCUUAAAAGAUAUUCAGGGAUUAAGUACCCGAGAAAGUGCAAAAAGGAAUGACAAAAUUCUGAAAAUGAGAUCAAGAUUGUGCUUUGUUGACCAUCAGGAGUAUACAUGUGUUGGUGUGUUUUAUAUAGUCCUGUUGCUUCUUAUAUUCUCUCAUGAUUCCUUGCCUAAUGUCGUGGUUGUGUGGAUCUCUUAAUUGGCAAUUCUGCUGAAAUCAUUCAGAAGGCAGGAUCACAAGAUUAAUGUGAGACUUGAAACACAUGUUGGUGAUCCAAGCCCUUGAACACACUGGUGUCAUGAUGAAUGUGUCUUCACCUACUAUCAGUUUUGUCCAUUCAUCAAGUAAGCCACACUUCUAUUGAGAAAAUGGAUGCAGUUUUGUCCAUUCAUUAGGUGAGCCACACUUCUAUUGAGAAAAUGGAUGCUUAAAAGAUCGAUAAGAUGAUAACCAAUGGUACAUGAGUGGACCACUAAUUAACCAUAUUAGUGGACUCAUCAAACUAUAUUUGUCCUCUGUAGAAAUGCAUCCACAAGGACUAACUUCUUCAAAUGUAAAAUUUCUAUCCUCAUGCUAAUAUUUUCAAUCCUAUGUUUACUUUAUUUAUGUAAUAUCUACACAACAGCCAAAGAACUGGGGUGUGUUGAUAGGAAUGUAUCUACCGAUGUAUUGUAAACAUAACAUUCUCUAGAAGCUCAGUUAACAGUUAUAGCAUUAUUGAUAUGUGCAGGAUUUGCGAAAUCGUUUACAGCUUUUGCAAGAAAUGGUGACAGAUGAGAAGUAUAGAUUGAGGUGGAGUUUUGUAUAUAGCUAUAGUUUCCUGGACUUUCAAGUUGUUGCAUUGUUUGUGUUUAUAUUUCAUGCAUACAAGCAAACACUUGUAGCCUACAUGUUUGUGUGAGCAUGAAGUGUUUUUUUACCGACCAUCCCUUAUUGACUUUGCAUGAGAACAAAAUAAAGGAACUUUGCAGGGUAUUACAUUUUUAUUUUUAUUUUUUAAUUUAUUUAUUUUGGCAGCUGUUGAACCAUCUCAAGAAAUGUCAAUAGUGCA